AAAGAGAGCCAUGGGAGUGAUAUCUAACAUACCGCACUAGACUUUUGUUCCCUGAAUCAAACAAAGGAAACGGUUGUUUUUCCCUUCCACAUGAUAAGUAUGUAUCUGUCUUUAGGAGAUCUGUAUAUAUACAAUGCAUUGUGUGUUAUACAUAUGUACAUAUAUAGUAUGUGUUUUUCUUCCAUCUGUCAAGUUAGAAUGGUGAGGUUAGUUUGUGUCGUUACAUUCAGUUUUAAUGAUGAGAAUGUAGAUGAUAAAUCAAAAAGAGGUAUCCAAAAGGAAAGAAAUGGGGAUUAUAGGAUUUAACAGAUUGACCUUCGGCCUCUGAGCAUCUCUAGUUUUAAAAAAAAUGAAAGAGAAGAGACGAGGAAACCGAGCUCCAGAUAUAGAUGAAGAUAUUUUCUCUCUCGUGACUUCAGGAUCAAACGAGAUCCCACAAUGAAUUCUAGAAUGUGAAUUAGUGUUCCUUUCACUCCCAAUCACCUCCUUCUCUCUUUAUCUCUGGCUCCAGGGAGGGACUGAAGGAGAGACCCGUCUUAAAAAGUCCCCAGAACAAGAAAAAAAAGAAGCUAUGACACGUCCACUAUGUGCUACAUGCCGUGUGAGGGAUAGAAGAGGAACUAACAGAGGAAACAGCACGUGGAGCAUCAAGAGGACAGGAACUAACAACGCCAUGGAGGCUGUCAAGCUUUACAUGGAUUUAUAUUCUGAGGUAUUCUGCGUUGUAAGGUUUAUUUUUUGAAGUUGUUGCACACCAACACCAUACAAUGACAAUAGACGAGACAAUGAAACGAAUCAAUUCCUUUCCCCGUGAAAUUGGCGGUCUAUUUUUUUUUACAAUCCUUGCUGUUUAUAAAGCACUGAAAGAAAAUAGGUAUUUGGCUGAAAUCGUGUGGUAAUUAGUUAACAAAGGGCUGUAUAAAGAAGAGCUAAGUCAAAGUGGUCAAAGUCUGGCUUUCAAGAAUGGAUAUCAUAUCCCUCUUUGGCCAGAGUAGAGAGUAAGUAUUGGGUUCACACACAGACGGUCGGCAGAUCUCUUUUCUUAGUACUGAUCUACGAAUGUACAUGACUGGAAAUUCUUCUUCAACUGUAAAACAGGGUUCAUCUUAUUCGCCACAUGUUCUUUCCCAGAGCUGCUCAAAAACACCUGGCAGGUGUCCCUCUGACAUCUGGUUGAUCUGUGGUCCUGAGUCAGAGCUGCUCUAGAAGUCUGAACUAAAACACCUGGCAGGUGUCCCUCUGACAUCUGGUUGAUCUGUGGUCCUGAGUCAGAGCUGCUCUAGAAGUCUGAACUAAAACACCUGGCAGGUGUCCCUCUGACAUCUGGUUGAUCUGUGGUCCUGAGUCAGCGCUGCUCUAGAAGUCUGAACUAAAACACCUGGCAGGUGUCCCUCUGACAUCUGGUUGAUCUGUGGUCCUGAGUCAGAGCUGCUCUAGAAGUCUGAACUAAAACACCUGGCAGGUGUCCCUCUGACAUCUGGUUGAUCUGUGGUCCUGAGUCAGAGCUGCUCUAGAAGUCUGAACUAAAACACCUGGCAGGUGUCCCUCUGACAUCUGGUUGAUCUGUGGUCCUGAGUCAGAGCUGCUCUAGAAGUCUGAACUAAAACACCUGGCAGGUGUCCCUCUGACAUCUGGUUGAUCUGUGGUCCUGAGUCAGAGCUGCUCUAGAAGUCUGAACUAAAACACCUGGCAGGUGUCCCUCUGACAUCUGGUUGAUCUGUGGUCCUGAGUCAGCGCUGCUCUAGAAGUCUGAACUAAAACACCUGGCAGGUGUCCCUCUGACAUCUGGUUGAUCUGUGGUCCUGAGUCAGAGCUGCUCUAGAAGUCUGAACUAAAACACCUGGCAGGUGUCCCUCUGACAUCUGGUUGAUCUGUGGUCCUGAGUCAGCGCUGCUCUUCAGUCAAACCCUUUUAAUACACUGCUGCAGUAUCUGAUAGUAUCUCCACACGACGACAAACCAGAACCAAAGAAUACAGAAGAAUACAGAAGAAUACAGAAGGAUACAGAAGAAUACAGAAGAAUACAGAAGAAUACAGAAGAAUACAGAAGGAUACAGAAGAAUACAGAAGGAUACAGAAGAAUACAGAAGGAUACAGAAGGAU